CUACGGGUGGCAGCAGUGAGGAAUAUUGGUCAAUGGGCGAGAGUCUGAACCAGCCAAGUCGCGUGAAGGAUGAAGGAUCUAUGGUUUGUAAACUUCUUUUAUAUGGGAAUAAAGUGAGGAACGUGUUCCUUUUUGUAUGUACCAUAUGAAUAAGCAUCGGCUAACUCCGUGCCAGCAGCCGCGGUAAUACGGAGGAUGCGAGCUUUAUCCGGAUUUAUUGGGUUUAAAGGGUGCGUAGGUGGUUAAUUAAGUCAGCGGUGAAAGUUUGUGGCUCAACCAUAAAAUUGCCGUUGAAACUGGUUGACUUGAGUAUAUUUGAGGUAGGCGGAAUGCGUGGUGUAGCGGUGAAAUGCAUAGAUAGCACGCAGAACUCCGAUUGGGGAGGCAGAUUACUAAACUAUAACUGACACUGAAGAACGAAAGCGUGGGGAUCAAACAGGAUUAGAUACCCUUGUAGUC
rnacentral:rRNA from 1 species